CCUACGGGUGGCAGCAGUGGGGGAUAUUGCACAAUGGGGGGAACCCUGAUGCAGCGACGCCGCGUGGGUGAAGGAGUAUUUCGGUAUGUAAAGUCCUAUCGGCAGGGAAGAAAUUGGACGGUACCUGACUAAGAAGCCCCGGCUAACUACGUGCCAGCAGCCGCGGUAAUACGUAGGGGGCAAGCGUUAUCCGGAUUCACUGGGUGGAAAGGGAGCGUAGACGGCCAUGCAAGCCAGGGGUGAAAGCCCGGGGCCCAACCCCGGGACUGCCCUUGGAACUGCAUGGCGGGAGCGCGGGAGGGGCAGGCGGAAUUCCUGGUGUAGCGGUGAAAUGCGUAGAUAUCAGGAGGAACACCGGCGGCGAAGGCGGCCUGCUGGACCGCGACUGACGUUGAGGCUCGAAAGCGUGGGGAGCGAACAGGAUUAGAUACCCGGGUAGUC
rnacentral:rRNA from 1 species